rnacentral:rRNA from 1 species
AGUGAACGCUGGCGGUAGGCCUAACACAUGCAAGUCGAACGGCAGCACAGUAAGAGCUUGCUCUUACGGGUGGCGAGUGGCGGACGGGUGAGGAAUACAUCGGAAUCUACUUUUUCGUGGGGGAUAACGUAGGGAAACUUACGCUAAUACCGCAUACGACCUACGGGUGAAAGCAGGGGAUCUUCGGACCUUGCGCGAUUGAAUGAGCCGAUGUCGGAUUAGCUAGUUGGCGGGGUAAAGGCCCACCAAGGCGACGAUCCGUAGCUGGUCUGAGAGGAUGGUCAGCCACACUGGAACUGAGACACGGUCCAGACUCCUACGGGAGGCAGCAGUGGGGAAUAUUGGACAAUGGGCGCAAGCCUGAUCCAGCCAUACCGCGUGGGUGAAGAAGGCCUUCGGGUUGUAAAGCCCUUUUGUUGGGAAAGAAAAGCAGCAGGUUAAUACCCCGCUGUUCUGACGGUACCCAAAGAAGAAGCACCGGCUAACUUCGUG